rnacentral:lncRNA from 1 species
GUAGAUAUGAAGACCUCCGACCGAUAGGAAAAAACUUAUCGGUCGAAGGCAAACCGAAAACAGAGGAGCCAUGAAGAAAACAGAGCAUCUGAUAGCAAAAAACAACCCCAAACAGAAAACCCAAAACGAAAAAGAAAGCAGAAGAUCAUCCCUCAUCACAUGGGCACUGGUUAUAAUCCCCCUCUUCCUUUCUUCCGUACCUCCAGUUUUCUCUGUUUCUCCUUUCCAUCCCGUUCUCUAAUGGUUUACUGAAAACAAUAAAUUGC